AUGCCCACGCCGGUGCCCACGGCGAGGCAGUGCCUGUCGUCGGCGGCCGUCACGGCCCUGGAUGCCGCGGUCAUCUCCGCGCGCCGCAGGGUGCACGCGCAGACCACAUCGCUCCACCUCGUCGCCGUGCUGCUCGCGCAGCAGGCCCCGCCGCUCCUCCGCGACGCGCUCGUGCGGGCCCGCAGCACCGCCUACUCCCCGUGCGUGCAGCUCAAGGCGCUCGAGCUCUGCUUCGCCGUCUCCCUCGAUAGGCUCCCCUCCGCCUCCUCGUCAGCCUCGGGCGUCGACGAGCCCGUGUCCAACUCACUCAUGGCGGCCAUCAAGCGCUCGCAGGCCAACCAACAUCGCAACCCGGACACCUACCACUUCUACCACCAGGUCGCCUUCCAGGCCGCCACCGCCGCCUCGCAGGUCAGGGUCAAGCUCUCGCAGCUCCUGUUCACCAUCCUCAACGACCCCGUCGUCAGCCGCGUCUUCAACGAUGCAGGCUUCCACAGCACCGACAUCAAGCUCGCCAUCCUCCGUCCCGCACCGCCCAUGCCGCUGCUCGGCCGCCUCCCUACACGGGCCUGCUCGCCGCCUCUCUUCCUCGGCAGCUUCGCCGCCGCCGCCGACGCUGAUGUGCCCUCGCCCGCCGGGAGCAUCGCUGGAGGCGCCGGCAAGGAGAAUGGCCGUUGCAUCACCGAGAUCCUCGCCCAGGGCCGCAACCCCGUGCUCGUCGGUGUCGGGGCCGUGUCCGCCGCUGCAGACUUCGCCAAGGCCUCGCCAUACCGCGUCCUCCCCUUCUGUCCAAACUCCGUCGACCAAACAUAA
rnacentral:rRNA from 1 species